GUCUUCCAUGGCUUAGUUGGUUAAAGCUCCUGUCCAUUAAACAGGAGAUCCUGAGUUCGAAUCUCAGUGGUGCCU
rnacentral:tRNA from 1 species